UACGUAGGGGGCUAGCGUUGUCCGGAUUUAUUGGGCGUAAAGCGCGUGUAGGCGGCUUUGCAAGUCGGGUGUGAAAGCCCUCAGCUCAACUGAGGAAGUGCGCCCGAAACUGCAGAGCUUGAGUGCCGGAGAGGGUGGUGGAAUUCUCGGUGUAGAGGUGAAAUUCGUAGAUAUCGAGAGGAACACCGGUGGCGAAGGCGGCCAACUGGACGAGUACUGACGCUGAGACACGAAAGCGUGGGGAGCAAACAGG
rnacentral:rRNA from 1 species